rnacentral:rRNA from 1 species
GACGAACGCUGGCGGCGUGCUUAACACAUGCAAGUCGAACGGAAAGGCCCUGCUUUUGUGGUGUUCUCGUGUGGCGACCGUGUGUGUAACACGUGUGUACCCUGCCCUUCACUUUGGGAUACCUUCAGGAAACUGGCGCUAAUCCCGGAUAGGCGCUCCUGCUGCUUGGUGUGGGUUGGUAUGUUUCGGCGGUUGGGGAUGGACUCGCGGGUUAUCAGCUUGUUGGUGGGGUAGUGGCUUACCACGGCUUUGACGGGUAGCCGGCCUGUGAGGGUGACCGGCGACAUUGGGACGGAGAUAGGGCCCAGACGCGUACGGGAGGAAGCAGUGGGGAAUAUGGCACAAUGGGGGGAAGCGUGAGGAAGCAAGGCGGCGGGCGGGAGGAGGGCCUAGGGGUGGAAAACCGAUUUGGCAUGGGACGAAGCGUGAGUGACGGUAAUGGGAAAAGAAGCACCGGCUAACUACGUG